UAUUGACAAUCAAAGAUACUUCUAAAUAUGGUACCUUUGUUAAUGAGGCAAAAAUGCAAAAUCACCUUCCCCAAACUUUGAAGACAGGGGAUAGAGUCACCUUUGGAGUGUUUGAAAGUAAAUUCAGGGUAGAGUAUGAGCCUUUGGUUGCCUGUUCUUCUUGUUUAGAUGUGUCUGGGAAAACUGCUCUAAAUCAAGCUGUGUUGCAACUUGGAGGACUCACUGUGAACAGCUGGACAAAAGAAUGUACUCACCUUGUCAUGAUGUCAGUGAAAGUCACCAUUAAAACGAUUUGUGCACUCAUUUGUGGAUGCCCCAUUGUAAAGCCAGAGUAUUUUACUGAAUUUCUCCAAGCAGUUCAGUCCAAGAAACAGCCUCCACAAAUAGAAAGUAUAAGAAACUAAGUUCAGCAGUUGUCUUUGGAGGUGGAGAAGCUAAGUUGAUAACAGAAGAAAAUGAAGAAGAGGAUAGCUUCUUUUCAGCUCCUGGAACGUGUGUUAUUGAUAUUGCAAUAACCAGUACACAAAUGGUAAUUCCUGACUCUCAGAAAAAAUGGAUUCACUCAAUUAUGGAGAUGCUUCAGAGAACGAUGAUGAGCUUCAGAAGAUGGUGAUGAACUUCAAGAAGAGUGAAUUU